rnacentral:misc_RNA from 1 species
GAUGAAGAACGCAGCGAAAUGCGAAAAGUAGUGUGAAUUGCAGAAUUCAGUGAAUCAUCGAAUCUUUGAACGCACAUUGCGCCCCUUGGUAUCCCGAGGGGCAUGCCUGUUCGAGCGUCAUUUCACCACUCAAGCCUGGCUUGGUGUUGGGCGACGUCCUCUUUGGGGACGCGCCUCGAAACGCUCGGCGGCGUGGCACCGGCUUUAAGCGUAGCAGAAUCUUUCGCUUUGGAAGUCGGGGCCCCGUCUGCCGGAAGACCUGCUCGCAAGGUUGACCUCGGAUCAGGCAGGGAUACCCGCUGAACUUAAGCAUAUCAAUAAGCGGAGGA